rnacentral:rRNA from 1 species
GAUGAACGCUGGCGGCGUGCCUAAUACAUGCAAGUCGAGCGAACAGAUGAGGAGCUUGCUCCUCUGACGUUAGCGGCGGACGGGUGAGUAACACGUGGAUAACCUACCUAUAAGACUGGGAUAACUUCGGGAAACCGGAGCUAAUACCGGAUAAUAUAUUGAACCGCAUGGUUCAAUAGUGAAAGACGGUUUUGCUGUCACUUAUAGAUGGAUCCGCGCCGCAUUAGCUAGUUGGUAAGGUAACGGCUUACCAAGGCAACGAUGCGUAGCCGACCUGAGAGGGUGAUCGGCCACACUGGAACUGAGACACGGUCCAGACUCCUACGGGAGGCAGCAGUAGGGAAUCUUCCGCAAUGGGCGAAAGCCUGACGGAGCAACGCCGCGUGAGUGAUGCAGGUCUUCGGAUCGUAAAACUCUGUUAUUAGGGAAGAACAAAUGUGUAAGUAACUAUGCACGUCUUGACGGUACCUAAUCAGAAAGCCACGGCUAACUACGUG